rnacentral:rRNA from 1 species
GGACAACUCACCAGGCCCGGACACCGUAAGGAUUGACAGACUGAUAGCUCUCUCUUGAUUCAGUGGGUGGUGGUGCAUGGCCGUUCUUAGUUGGUGGAGUGAUUUGUCUGGUUUAUUCCGAUAACGAACGAGACUCUGUCAUGCUAAAUAUUGUCUGCUUCUCUUUUGAGCAGACAAUUCUUCUUAGAGGGACUGGCGACUCUUAGUCGCACAAGAUUAUGCAAUAA